rnacentral:rRNA from 1 species
ACGUAGGAGGCGAGCGUUAUCCGGAUUUACUGGGCGUAAAGCGCGUGCAGGCGGUGCGAUAAGUCGUGCGUGAAAGCUCCCAGGCUUAAUCGGGAGAGGACGUGCGAGACUGUCGGACUAGAGGCAGGUAGAGGCAAGUGGAAUUCCGGGUGUAGUGGUGAAAUGCGUAGAGAUCCGGAGGAACCCCGGUGGCGAAGGCGGCUCGCUGGGCCUUACCUGACGCUCAGAUGCGAAAGCUAGGGGAGAGAACGG